GACGAACGCUGGCGGCGUGCUUAACACAUGCAAGUCGAACGGAAAGGCCCUGCUUUUGUGGGGUGCUCGAGUGGCGAACGGGUGAGUAACACGUGAGUAACCUGCCCUUGACUUUGGGAUAACUUCAGGAAACUGGGGCUAAUACCGGAUAGGAGCUCCUGCUGCAUGGUGGGGGUUGGAAAGUUUCGGCGGUUGGGGAUGGACUCGCGGCUUAUCAGCUUGUUGGUGGGGUAGUGGCUUACCAAGGCUUUGACGGGUAGCCGGCCUGAGAGGGUGACCGGACACAGUGGGACUGAGAUACGGCCCAGACUCCUACGGGAGGCAGCAGUGGGGAAUAUUGCACAAUGGGCGGAAGCCUGAUGCAGCAACGCCGCGUGCGGGAUGACGGCCUUCGGGUUGUAAACCGCUUUCGCCUGUGACGAAGCGUGAGUGACGGUAAUGGGUAAAGAAGCACCGGCUAACUACGUG
rnacentral:rRNA from 1 species